rnacentral:snRNA from 1 species
AUCGCUUCUCGGCCUUUUGGCUAAGAUCAAGUGUAAAUUCAAUGUCAAAUUUAUUACAACUGACCAGUGCAUCCAUGUUUGGAAUUCAAAGUGGGUACACCUCUCUCAGCAAGGAUAUCAUUAUGCACCAAGGAAAAACAACU